CUCACAAAACUGCUGUUGCCUCUGAGUUUAAAGAAAGGGUCUGAUAGCCUCCGAAUUGUAGAAGAUAUUUUAAGGAAAAACACAAACUUUAAACUACCUAAGGAUCACACACCAAGAAUAUAGUAACGUGUGAGAUCUGAUUUUUUGGGCAUUCGACAGUUAGUCUAGGCUAAAUUUCACAUCAGAAUAUUUAGCUACACUUCACACAUCAAAAUACUUACUUGUGGGUGGAAGUAUGGAUAGUAUAAAGAAAUUCUUUGACAAAAAGGUAAAGGAUGCUAAAUUCAAGAAGGCAGGACAAGGUCAGAGGUGAGAAAUUAAGAAUUGUAUAAA